GGAGAAGAAAACAGAGUUAAUUGCAGGGCCAUAAACUGUUUGUCCCAAAGCUAUUUUUUUAAAUGUUGUAAUGACAUCACGUUUUGGAAAGCACCUCGACAGGAAAUUGAACCAGAAAUGCAGUGAAGGUCCAACAAUUAGCGCUCCAUAACCAGCCAUCCUCAAUGUUCGUGUGAGAUCAUACUGCUCCAACAAUGACCCAGCAAUCAUCUGCGAGGAAAAAUCAGCAGCAGUAAGAAUAAGGCCGCAAGUGAUGCUCUUGGUGAUAAUGGGUCGAGAGUUGAGUUUCUCUAAGUACCAACCCACUAACCCAAAUUUUGAAGCAGAAGACGAAACCCCUGAAAAGAAAGCAAGAAAACUGGGAUUUGACAACUCUAAUUCCUUAGU
rnacentral:misc_RNA from 1 species